rnacentral:rRNA from 1 species
UACGAAGGGGGCUAGCGUUGUUCGGAAUCACUGGGCGUAAAGGGUGCGUAGGCGGCCGCGCAAGUCGGAUGUGAAAUCUCAGGGCUCAACCCUGAAACUGCAUUCGAUACUGCGUGGCUAGAGUGCUGGAGAGGAGACUGGAAUUUACGGUGUAGCAGUGAAAUGCGUAGAUAUCGUAAGGAAGACCAAUGGCGAAGGCGAGUCUCUGGACAGGAACUGACGCUGAGGCACGAAGGCCAGGGGAGCAAACGGG